rnacentral:ncRNA from 1 species
CCACGCACAGGGCAAACCAUUUGAAAAGAUGGGACGCAAAGCUUCCGGCCUUAACCAGUAUUUUAUUCAUAACUAUGAUAUUAUUCAGGAAAGGUAGCGGGGUUGCCGAU